AAGCGGUGGAGUAUGUUGUUUAAUUCGAAGAUACACGAAGAACCUUACCAGGUCUUGACAUACCAUUGACAGGUGCAGAGAUGUACCCUUCUUCGGACAAUGGAUACAGGUGGUGCAUGGUUGUCGUCAGCUCGUGCCGUGAGGUGUUGGGUUAAGUCCCGCAACGAGCGCAACCCCUAUUGCUAGUUGCUAACAUUCAGUUGAGGACUCUAGUGAGACUGCCAGUGAUAAACUGGAGGAAGGUGGGAUGACGUCAAAUCAUCAUGCCCUUUAUGACCUGGGCUACAAACGUACUACAAUGGCCAAUACAAAGAGAUGCGAAGUCGCGAGAUGGAGCGAACCUCAUAAAAAUGGUCUCAGUUCGGAUUGGAGUCUGCAACUCGACUCCAUGAAGUUGGAAUCGCUAGUAAUCGCGUAUCAGCAUGACGCGGUGAAUACGUUCCCGGGCCUU
rnacentral:rRNA from 1 species